rnacentral:rRNA from 1 species
UACGUAGGGGGCAAGCGUUGUCCGGAAUUAUUGGGCGUAAAGAGCUUGUAGGCGGUUCGGUAAGUCGGGUGUGAAACCUCUGGGCUCAACUCAGAGACGCCACCCGAUACUGCUGUGACUAGAGUGUGGUAGGGGAGCGGGGAAUUCCUGGUGUAGCGGUGAAAUGCGCAGAUAUCAGGAGGAACACCAGUGGCGAAGGCGCCGCUCUGGGCCAUAACUGACGCUGAGAAGCGAAAGCGUGGGUAGCAAACAGG